rnacentral:rRNA from 1 species
AACGAACGCUGGCGGCAUGCCUAACACAUGCAAGUCGAACGAGACCUUCGGGCCUAGUGGCGCACGGGUGCGUAACGCGUGGGAACCUGCCCUUAGGUUCGGAAUAACUCCCCGAAAGGGGUGCUAAUACCGGAUAAUGUCUUCGGACCAAAGAUUUAUCGCCUUUGGAUGGGCCCGCGUUGGAUUAGCUAGUUGGUAGGGUAAAAGCCUACCAAGGCGACGAUACAUAGCUGGUCUGAGAGGAUGAUCAGCCACACUGGGACUGAGACACGGCCCAGACUCCUACGGGAGGCAGCAGUGGGGAAUAUUGGACAAUGGGCGAAAGCCUGAUCGAGCAAUGCCGCGUGAGUGAUGAAGGCCGUAGGGUUGUAAAGCUCGUUUACCCGGGAUGAUAAUGACAGUACCGGGAGAAUAAGCUCCGGCUAACUCCGUG